AUUUUCACGUUCACGGGGAUUUUUUGCCUCUAACCGUCUCGGUUGUUAAAGUAAAUAUCAUUCAUAUUCGUAUCAAAACUUCCCACUAACGUAUGACAUGUCCUCCAUUUUGUAAUCUCAUCCCUCCGUUUCCCAGCAUUUCUCUUGCUCGUCAAUCUUUUACACACCUCAAAGGGCGCUUUUCCACCACACCAGGAGUCUGUACAGCUGCAGAAAUCAAGCCCACACCCUCUUCUGCUGUGCGUUUAAAGCACAUUUCAGCACAAAGAGAUCGAGAGUCUUCAUGGUUUAUAAGGACCACAAAGAAAGUGAGCUGCAAACACUUCCUGAAAGAGGUGGACAGGCGGCAAGGAACAGAUGGAAUACACCAUCCUGCUAAAUUGCUAUUUUAAAAAUCACACACCAGAAAGUGGUCGGGAAACAGAGCCACGUUCGUUUGCCCAAAGCUACAAACAGCAGGGAAAACACAGCAUAU